ACUCCUACGGGAGGCAGCAGUGGGGAAUAUUGGCACAAUGGGCGGCAACGCCUGAUGCAGCCAUGCCGCGUGUAUGAAGAAGGCCUUCGGGUUGUAAAGUACUUUCAGCAGUGAGGAGGUGGAUAUGUUAAUAGCAUAUUCAUUUGAUCGUUAUGCUGCAGAAGAAGCACCGGCUAACUCCGUGCCAGCAGCCGCGGUAAUACGGAGGGUGCGAGCGUUAAUCGGAAUUACUGGGCGUAAAGCGCAUGCAGGUGGUUUGUUAAGUCAGAUGUGAAAGCCCGGGGCUCAACCUCGGAAUUGCAUUUGAAAC
rnacentral:rRNA from 1 species